AAUUAGUAAUUACCGACAAAACACUCUCUUAAUCUGCUGUGAAACACUCUUUUAGUUUACUGUUAAAAUCUAUAAGCAAAUCUUGUGUAAACUUUACCGAAAUUGUUGACUAGAUUGCUAAAUAUAGCAAUGGUUAACAACAACAAAACAUCUGUAUAACAAUGACUAAUGUUUUUUCAUAGAAAACUAGUCAAACAUGGUCAUGAAUUUGUAAAAUAUAAA
rnacentral:lncRNA from 1 species